CAGCAGCCGCGGUAAUACGUAGGGUGCAAGCGUUGUCCGGAAUUAUUGGGCGUAAAGAGCUCGUAGGCGGUUUGUCGCGUCUGCUGUGAAAACGCGAGGCUCAACCUCGCGCCUGCAGUGGGUACGGGCAGACUAGAGUGUGGUAGGGGAGAUUGGAAUUCCUGGUGUAGCGGUGGAAUGCGCAGAUAUCAGGAGGAACACCGAUGGCGAAGGCAGAUCUCUGGGCCAUUACUGACGCUGAGGAGCGAAAGCGUGGGGAGCGAACAGGAUUAGAUACCCGCGUAGUCCCUGGCUCUUAUAA
rnacentral:rRNA from 1 species